GACGAACGCUGGCGGCGUGCCUAAUACAUGCAAGUUGAGCGCUGAAGGUUGGUACUUGUACCAACUGGAUGAGCAGCGAACGGGUGAGUAACGCGUGGGGAAUCUGCCUUUGAGCAGGGGACAACAUUUGGAAACGAAUGCUAAUACCGCAUAAAAACUUUAAACACAAGUUUUAAGUUUGAAAGAUGCAAUUGCAUCACUCAAAGAUGAUCCCGCGUUGUAUUAGCUAGUUGGUGAGGUAAAGGCUCACCAAGGCGAUGAUACAUAGCCGACCUGAGAGGGUGAUCGGCCACAUUGGGACUGAGACACGGCCCAAACUCCUUCGGGAGGCAGCAGUAGGGAAUCUUCGGCAAUGGACGAAAGUCUGACCGAGCAACGCCGCGUGAGUGAAGAAGGUUUUCGGAUCGUAAAACUCUGUUGGUAGAGAAGAACGUUGGUGAGAGUGGAAAGCUCAUCAAGUGACGGUAACUACCCAGAAAGGGACGGCUAACUACGUG
rnacentral:rRNA from 1 species